UACGUAGGGUGCGAGCGUUGUCCGGAAUUAUUGGGCGUAAAGGGCUCGUAGGCGGUCUGUUGCGUCGGGAGUGAAAACUCAGGGCUUAACCCUGAGCCUGCUUCCGAUACGGGCAGACUAGAGGUAUGCAGGGGAGAACGGAAUUCCAGGUGUAGCGGUGAAAUGCGUAGAUAUCUGGAGGAACACCGGUGGCGAAGGCGGCAUCCUGGACCGGCAUUGACGCUGAGGCGCGAGAGCGUGGGGAGCGAACCGG
rnacentral:rRNA from 1 species